rnacentral:lncRNA from 1 species
UAAUAAUAAUCCCAUGGGAUUUUUUUUGUCCCAUGGGACAACAAAUAUCCCAUGGGACUACAAUUAUCCCAUGGGACCAAAAAAAAUCCCAUGGGAUUUAACCAAAAUCCCAUGGGAUAAUGGUAAAUCCCAUGGGAUUUUGCCCUGUCCCAUGGGAUAUUGAAAAUCCCAUGUUUUUAUAAAUCAAAUAGCAAAAUAAAUAUAAUAGUAACAGUAGAAAACAAAUGAAAUUAUUGAAUCCCAUGUAAUUCCGCACAUUUUGGUUAUAUACAUGACACUGUAGCUCUUAUUUGAGGCGGCGGCGGAUUUGCAAAUGAGUGUUUUGCAAAUUUAAAGUGUCCAGUGUUCUUCCAUUAUCACUGAAAAAGUGCAUACUUUUGUUUAGGGGCCUGAUGAAGUAUGCAUCUUUAUUCGCUAUAUUGAAGACCCAUUAAUGACCUUCGGCUGUUUUCUGUUCUUUGGUCAGAGUAACUUGUUGUCUCUUUGACAAAUCCCCCAUUUAUUAUUGUAUGUUGGUGGCAUUUUGUUCUUUUUUUUCAGAUUGUGUAAUAUUUGCAUUUACUCCCCCAUCCCAUCUUAUUUACUUGAUAUGUAUGUGUUGGUGCGUAAUUUAAAAGUUAUAUCAAAGUCAAAUCGCGCGUAUGUCUGGAUGUUGCAUUUCACCGCAGGCGCGGAUCCAGCCAUUUUAAAAAGGGGGGAUUCCCAACCCAGAGUAAAGGGGGGGUCCAACUAUAUGCUCCAAUUCAAAUGCAUUGAUCGGCC